rnacentral:rRNA from 1 species
UACUAGAGUAGCACUCGCAUAUCAAUAAGCGGAGGAAAAGAAACUAACAAGGAUUCCCCUAGUAACGGCGAGUGAAGCGGGAAGAGCUCAAAUUUGAAAUCUUAAAGGGUUUCCCUUUACGAAUUGUAGUUUAAAGAAGUGUUUUCUGUUGAGGUUUUGGUAAAAGUUCUUUGGAAUAGGACAUCAUAGAGGGUGAGAAUCCCGUAUUUGACCUUUACUUUCAACUUUGUGGUACACUUUCAAAGAGUCGGAUUGUUUGGGAAUGCAGUCCAAAAUGGGUGGUAAAUUUCAUCUAAAGCUAAAUAUUGGCGAGAGACCGAUAGCGAACAAGUACCGUGAGGGAAAGAUGAAAAGAACUUUGAAAAGAGAGUUAAACAGUACGUGAAAUUGUCAAAAGGGAAGCGUUUGACACCAGUGUUGUUUUUCUGAAAAUCAAUUAAAGAACUGUUUAUGCUAAGCUUGUUUAGACUUUAUCAGCUAUCUGUUUAGUUUUGAGCUUUUCUUUAAUGCACUUUUCAGUUAACAAGUCAACAUCAAUUUCUUUUGCUGUAAAAAAGCUUGAGGAAGGUGGCUUGAGAUUCGUCUUAAGUGUUUAUAGCCUCUUGCCUAUGCAGUCGGAGAGAUUGAGGUCUGCAGCGUAGAUCCUUCGGGGCUAAAUGCAUUUGUGCUAAGUUAUAGUAUUUUAUAGACAACUUGUUGACUAUGAUUUGUCUUGUAGCUUACUCGCUUAUGUUAUUUUACCUACGCUUAGGAUGUUGAGCGCAUGUCUCUCUCU